ACAGGGCUGUGCUCCUGCCUCUCUAGGGAGGAUUCUGCAUGUGGCGGUGUGUACUUUAGCAGAUAGAUGAGCGAAACUGUGGUCCCGGGGAACCAGCCUCUUUGGAACUUAGCGGGUGACUGAAAUUGGGCUCUCUCCCUGGAAGGAAGCAGCUGAGACAAAGCCACUUAAGUCUCAGUGUUCCACCUCUUCUACCUUGAGGCUCUCAGGCUGUCGUUUGGGGGUCCACCCUCAUUCAGGGUAGUUCUCUUUUGUUUUUUUGCAGUUAAAAGUUAUUUGGGUUGUUACUUUUCAUUGGAGCAGAGCAGCCCCUGUUUAUUUCAAUAACAUCAAAAUGUAGACAAGAAAAAGAAGCCACCCUCAGCAAUACUGAAACUGUCAAAGGGCCUUCCAGGAAGGCAUGCAGCAACAUACGGCAUGUCCAUGUCCAACACAACAUAUGUGUCCUGUGCCUGAUGCUUCAUACAUAAAUGUUACAUAAAUGUAUUUGUCUGUCACAAUACCACACUUAUUCUUUGAUAACAUGUGUCUUUAUGUCUUGCUAGAACAGCUUUCUAGAUCAACUAGCUUUUCUUAAAAAAAAAAAAAAAGCCAUAUAAAGUCUUUUCUUACAGAAGGGAAACCCAGGCCCCAAAAUGUAAGGUGGUUUAUAAAAAGUGGGUCAUUUAAAUAAUUUAAUAUCAAGAGAUCAAGCUAAGUGGUUACAAUUACAAUGGAAAGACUGCUCAACUGCUCAACACUGCCACGAUGAUGAUUAUUAUUUUCUUGACCAUGAGUUACAUGAAUCUGAAGUAGCUGUGAAAGUGCUCACAGACACCCUCACUGAUUCACCUACUCUCACAAAUCCAUACAUAGAAGCACUGAUAAACAUGCUUGUGCAAGUCUAUCCUCAAGGUAAUUACCCAUAAGAUUAAAGGCUAUGUAGGUUACCAAGACCCCCAAGUAGGCUGCCCUGUUAACUGCAUGAUCCCUGGAUGUCACAGUCUAGAAGAAGUACUCCCAGGCUAUUGCCCAGGUGACUGUAUAUAUGUGUCUCCAGGCUUGGUAGCUCUGACUUCCUUUCCCUUGCCCCGAACAGGCAUACUCCUAAGCGAGUUAAUCAGCUGGCGGAUGAGGGAAGGCUGCUAUGUUGUUUGGGUUUGAUAUUGCAGUCCAUCUCCAUCUCACAAUUCCUCACUGACUGCUGAGAAACGGCCCCUCCAUCAGCUCCCAUUUUUAGAGCAGCCGUUGGUGCAAGAUGUCAAACUGGAGGUUGAGAAGACAAAGAUGAAAGGAAUAGAAACACUCUCCUGAGAAAGAUCCCAGCCUCAAGAAAUCCAGUGACUCAUAACAUGCAUCUACUCUGAAGUCUCUCGGAGGAAGAAGAGAAAUGCAAGUUGUACAUUCCAGGGCCGAAAUUUUGGGGAAAAUCCAUGAAGUGUCCAAAGGGAAGGCAUGAAAAUCACACGUGAUCCAUUGUGCCCUUCAGCACAGCCAUGGUUCCUGAGUGUCGGUUAGCAGCAAGCCAGCCUGGCUGGAUGUGUCCAUCCUCACCAGAUAGCCCUUCCAGGAAGGCCUUGCCUUUCACUUGUACCUCUAGAGACCCUGGUACGAAAUCAUACAACUUAUUCUGAAAUCUGUUACAUGUGAACUCCCAAUGGAAUAAACAAAAUUAAAGGUCUCCCUCUAACACAGUCCUCCAGGCUCUUAGACAUCUCUGCUCCUCUCCACCAUGAGACCACGGCCCACCUUUGGCAGGAUUCCAGGCACAAUCUGAACAGCCUCAGACUAGUUCAUGGAGGAGCCUCCCGAGAUCCUGGCCAGGUCAGCUCACCCUUCCAGGAAGAAGAGCCAAGCGUGAGAGGAGGGAGCCGUGGCCGGCGUGGACAUGAAUGCUGGCUUUCAAAGAGAACGGUGUUUGAGUUUUGGUCAUCGGAAGUGGUGCCUUCAGCAC